CCUACGGGUGGCAGCAGUGGGGAAUUGUUCGCAAUGGGCGCAAGCCUGACGACGCAACGCCGCGUGGAGGAUGAAGGUCUUCGGAUUGUAAACUCCUGUUGAUCGGGACGAAUGGCUCCGACCUAACACGUCGGAGAAUGACGGUACCGGUUGAGGAAGCCACGGCUAACUCUGUGCCAGCAGCCGCGGUAAUACAGAGGUGGCAAGCGUUGUUCGGAAUUACUGGGCGUAAAGGGCGCGUAGGCGGCCUUCUAAGUCGGACGUGAAAGCCCCAGGCUUAACCUGGGAACUGCGUCCGAUACUGGGAGGCUUGGAUUCGGGAGAGGAAUGUGGAAUUCCAGGUGUAGCGGUGAAAUGCGUAGAUAUCUGGAGGAACACCGGUGGCGAAGGCGGCAUUCUGGACCGACAUCGACGCUGAGGCGCGAAAGCCAGGGGAGCAAACGGGAUUAGAUACCCCAGUAGUC
rnacentral:rRNA from 1 species